rnacentral:lncRNA from 1 species
CUUCCACUAGCCAAGAGGGCUGCAGAUUGCUUUGGGAGGAGCAGCAUGGAGCUGUCAGGUGCUAGUGAAGCUAAGAGAUCAGACUGACCUUGGUUAAGUGCAGAGAGGAGGCGGACACUUCACAUACCAUUGGAAACACGUGGACAGAUAACAGUGCACCAUGUGUAAACGUGAAUGCUGUACUCACCGAAUUGCACCACACUUCAUAUGUUACUAGGAGUCAAGCUUGGCAUGUGGUGUUCUCCUGUGGAGACUUACACAAGGGUAUCCAGGCACCGUGAACUCAGAACAGUACACCAGUAG